GCUUUUUAUAAAAGUAUUUAGCUAAAAAAAUUGGAACGAUACAGAGAUUAGCAUGACCCCUGCACAAGGAUGACACGCAAAUUCAUGAAGCAUUCCAUAUUUUU